AGCUCCAAUAGCGUAUAUUAAAGUUGUUGCAGUUAAAAAGCUCGUAGUUGGAUCUCAGGGGUAGACGGGCGGUCCGGCUCGCAGCCGGUUCACUGCCCGCUUUCUACCCUAACCCCUGUCGGCUCUCUCCUACGGGUGCUCUUCACUGAGCGUCCCAGGUGGCCGACGCGUUUAUUUUGAAAAAAUUAGAGUGUUCAAAACUCGACAGCCUGAAUAAUGGUGCAUAAAAUAAUGGAAUAGGACCUCGGCCCUAUUUUGUUGGUUUCCGGGACGGAGGUAAUGAUUAACAGGGACAAACGGGGGCAUUCGUAUUGCGGCGUUAGAGGUGAAAUUCUUGGAUCGCCGCUAGACGAGCUACUGCGAAAGCAUUUGUCAAGAAUGUUUUCA
rnacentral:rRNA from 1 species